UACGUAGGGGGCGAGCGUUGUCCGGAUUUACUGGGCGUAAAGCGCGUGUAGGUGGCGGCUUAAGUCGGGUGUGAAAGCCCGGGGCUCAACCCCGGGACGCCGCCCGAAACUGGGGCGCUUGAGGCCGGAAGAGGGGCGUGGAAUUCCCGGUGUAGUGGUGAAAUGCGUAGAGAUCGGGAGGAACACCUGUGGCGAAGGCGGCCCCCUGGGCCGGCCCUGACACUGAGACGCGAAGGCGUGGGGAGCGAAC
rnacentral:rRNA from 1 species